rnacentral:rRNA from 1 species
UACGUAGGGUCCGAGCGUUGUCCGGAAUUACUGGGCGUAAAGAGCUCGUAGGUGGUUUGUCGCGUUGUUCGUGAAAACUCACAGCUUAACUGUGGGCGUGCGGGCGAUACGGGCAGACUGGAGUACUGCAGGGGAGACUGGAAUUCCUGGUGUAGCGGUGGAAUGCGCAGAUAUCAGGAGGAACACCGGUGGCGAAGGCGGGUCUCUGGGACGGUACUGACGCUGAGACGCGAAAGCGUGGGGAGCGAACAGG